GGACUACCGGGGUAUCUAAUCCUGUUUGCUCCCCAAGCUUUCGCACCCUAGCGUCAGUAGAGACCCAGAAAGCUGCCUUCGCUACUUCGGCGUUCCUUCGUAUAUCUCCGGAUUUUAUCCCUACACACGAAAUUCCACUCCCCUCUAUCCCACUCGAGUGAAUUGGUUUUGAAAGCAUUCCGCCAGUUGAGCUGGCGUCUUUGACUUUCAACCUGAUUCACUGCCUACGUGCCCUUUACGCCCAGUCAUUCCGAAUAACACUUGCCUCCCCCGUCUUACCGCGGCUGCUGGCAC
rnacentral:rRNA from 1 species